UCUCCCGAGCACUCUGGCCGGCUGUGUUCAGCCGGAGUAAUCCCAGCCACCCAGGCCACGAAGAGCCUCUGGUUCGUCACGUGGGUUCUGGCCUCUGAGGCAUCCUCCACCUCUCCGUUCCCCAAGAGAUACAUAAGCUUCUCUUUUUUCAUGGCUCUUUGGAAUUGUCCAGUCUCCUGUGGUUGGCGUUCCCAGGGGUCAAGCGGAGGCCUGGGAGCAAUUUGCAGAACCGACUCCUUAGCAAAGUAAAGUCAGACACGGCUCUACUCAGGCAAUGGCUUCGCAUCCUCCCUCCUGUGAACUUCUCCGUCCUGUCACGGACAGCUGCAUUGCUGCAAGAGCAAACGAGAAAUCCAUACACGUCUUCCCUCAGAGCACUGGGUUGCCUCCCAAUAUACUUACUCGCCUACAGGGACGAUACACGCUGCCAUCUUGGUGUUCAGGAUGAUGCUCCCAGUCCUUGGACGUUGCCUGGCACUGCUGCUUACAUCCUGGAUAACAGGAAAUCCAGUCAGCAAGUUCUCACCACUUCUUACCUUUAGGGACCAUCUCAAUGUCCAUUACAAAUGCACAAAGAUUAUAUGCUGGAUCAGAAAAAAAGAUUUCCUCCCUCUACCAAGGCAAUCGGACAGAAACAAAACUGCAGACACAAUGCCGUCACCGUUCAUCAAGGCUUGUAAACCGGAAAGUGGCCCUUCUCGCCAUCUGUGGCAAACAACCAAUGCGACCUCGCACUAAGUAAAAUUCUCAUUGAGUAUGACAAAACUCAGAAACCAUAUUUAAAAUAGUGCAUGACAAUGUCAGCUUCAAAACCAUUUUGAAAGUGAAAUUCAACAUCUCAAAAUUAAAUUCAAACAAUUCCCAAAACUAAA